CGAGGAGGAGGCACAAGGUUCUCUCCUGAGCCAGAGGCUAGCUUUAGGUGUUGUUUCCACAACUGCCAAUUGCCACUGAUGCUCCUUCUUGUCCUCCUUUGGAGGAGUAAGAAGAGGAUGCAGUGUGAGUGCU
rnacentral:snoRNA from 1 species